CAGGGUGAGGCAUGCCAGGGCAAAGGAGGAUGCACUGGGCAGAGGGAUGAACGUCCCAGUGGAGGAGGCGGUGGUGGCUGUUCUCAGGAGAAAGGCAUGCAGAGAGCCAGGCACCCAAAGGAGGAUGUUCUCGAGUCGAGGAACCUAAUCUUUCCCAGCAGGGAUCGAAGCAGCUCUGGGCAUUGACAGUCACUCACCAGGCAAUGACUGUCACGUCGGCGCAAAGAGCCAGCCGUCGACAGGGGUCGACCACAUCAAACGGGGCUGUCAGGGGGCCCUGCUUGUGAACUGUGGCAACAAACACCUCCUGAUCCUCACCUACAGCUCAAGAACAGACACCCGCCGCUGUGCUUCCAGCCACUGCCUCCGCUGAGAAAAGAUGUUCUGUCCGGACCUCAUUUCCUCCUCCACUGCACCCCUCCCAGCGACCACCACCUUCCCUUGUCUCUCCCCCUCUCUGUCAAGUAGUGCUUGUGCUAACCUCCCGUCUGCUGACACACAAAGGCUCACUAAAGUGGUUUUUAUGAGUGUAUGUGAAGGGAAGGCCGGUGCUGCUGGAGGUCAGAAAGUGUGCAGGAUGUGAACAACAUAGUACAGUUUUACUGUCAAUUUGAACCAGAGUCACGCUUGAUUUUAACUUUUUUGGGUUGCGACUUUAAAAGUCACAGGGUGAAAGGAGGUGAUGUAUUUCAACAGGUUGCGACAAGUACUCUUUCCUGGAUUACCUACAACAUUUUUUUUUUUAGCUUUGUAGUGAUGGUUCACACUUAAAGUUAGUUCUUUAACUGGGUUAAAAAGAUGUUUCUGUCUUCAGAAAAAGACAUCAGGCAUUGAAAGAUUCCUCUAUUAACAAUAAUAAAACAUUAUACAAAAUGAAUUGAAAUUAAAAUGAAUCAAAAUUAAAAUUGUGGCAAUUACUGUAUUAGCUUCCAAUCAAAGCAUAGUCAUUGCUAUGAUUAAAAAAAAUGUUUUCAUGGCAUCUGUUUGGCCAGUCAAUAAAGAACAGGGUCUUGAGGUCCUCUUCAGAUACCAUACUUUUAAAGCAUUGUGCUUGAUUAUGAUGACAGAUAAAAUAUGGUGCCUACAAAAAAGAAGACCAAAUUAAACCACCACUGACAUUGAUUUUUCCAGGAAAUAUUGGUAAAGCCUAACCCAACACUCAGGCAAACUGUUCCUUUAAUCAAGCAAAUGAAUAUGUUUGAUGUGUACAUCAAUGGACUCUGUGUACAUUCCUAUACAUGUCUUAGACAUGAGUUAAUUAAAACAAAUUAAAACAAUACAUGAAAUUUGUCAUACCUUUAUGACUGGUUCACCCUCUCGCAAGUUCAAAUGAAUGUGGACACUGCCAUCUAUUGGUCAAACAUGUGUAAGUUUUAUUUGAAAACGAUGAGGGUGCACAAGUGAUACCAAAAUAUAUGUAUAGUAUUUAAAGUAUUGGGAACCUAGUUAAGUUUUACUCAUAGCAAUGAAAGAUAGAGACUUUAAAUGUUAGAGACUCUUUGGUAUUUAUGCUUUGGUGUGUGGACCACUCCGCAUUCUUGCUCCUGAGAAUAACUGUCCUGGGAUCUACUAUCUUAGCAGUGGACAAUGGACCAAAGACCUGUACUUAAUAGUAUUAUUAUUUUUGGUAUUACUUCGUGUGCUAAAUCUUAAC